GUCCCAAGAGCUCAGUGGGUAAAGCAUCAGACUUUUAAUCUGAGGGUCCAGGGUUCAAGUCCCUGUGUGGGUG
rfam:Scleropages formosus scaffold14125, whole genome shotgun sequence.